rnacentral:lncRNA from 1 species
CAAAAUUUACUUGUUUAUGAGUUUGCAUUAAAAAUUGUGGACUAAUGCGCUCAAUAGUAUAUUAAUUAAAGAUUUCCAGAGAACCAGGGGUUAUUUUUGGAGUACCUCUGUUCUUAGGUCAGUUUUUUGUCAUAGAAGGCUAUAAAGGUAUGUUGAAAAUUGGCAUGAAUGAUCCAGGAUAUACCGAUUUCCAUGAAGUUAAACUUAAGGUUAAAUAUUUAGAAAGCUGUGAAAAAAGUAACAUUUGGUUGAAGAGAUAAGUAUUUUUAAUUGGUAGGCUGACACCUUUAAACUGUUGAAUGUCCAUGUACUAAACGAGCUAAAAUUAGAAUCUCGAAUAGCCGGUGUCGAUGAGAUGUCAUUAUUUUGUUCGAAAUACUUUAUAUAGAUCAAUCAUGUGUGGAAGCAUUCAAUACCAGAAGUAAAAAGUAUGAUAUAUACAAUAGAAGUAAUCUAGAUCGAGCUCAGAUCAGUAAAGUUGUCCAGCAGAAAUGUUAAAUUGUGUGUGCAUGUAUGCAACAAAACUUGAUCAAGAAACAAAGAAUGUUUCGAUAUAAAAACAUAUUCUUUUAUAAACAAUGAAUUAAUAUUGCAUGUUUUAUUGAAUAGGACUAAUAUUACUGCAGUUAUCUUGCGGACACAAAUUCAACUUUUGUUUAAAGCAGUUUUAAAAAGUUGACCCGCCCUUCUUUUGUUUUAAAAUAUACCAGUAAUUAUGUUUUAUGUGUCUGAAGAUAUAUAAUGAACUCAUUCUUUACCAGAAUUACAUUUUUGUAAAAUAAUGAAAGCAUUAAAGUGUGUGUUUUGUUCAAUAUAUCAGCUAUGUGCAUACAUACAUCCAUUCCAUUUUUUAUUCAUAUAUACCCUGUUGCUCAUUCAGUUUAAAUUGUAUCACUUUUUCCAACGUACAUAUCGUACUUCAUCGUAGGUAUGAACGUGAUUUGUAAUAGUGAUUAGAUAAAGAGGUCAGACAAUUUUUCUUUACUAUGUUCAUUUUCAAAAAGUCAUCUUUUCGUUUAAAAUUCAAUAUUCUAUAAAUGUUAACGACUUUGAAUAAUAAGUACAAUU